UUCUGGCAUCGAUGAAGAACGCAGCAAAAUGCGAUAAGUAAUGUGAAUUGCAGAAUUCAGUGAAUCAUCGAAUCUUUGAACGCACAUUGCGCCCGCCAGUAUUCUGGCGGGCAUGCCUGUUCGAGCGUCAUUUCAACCCUCAAGCACAGCUUGGUGUU
rnacentral:rRNA from 1 species